rnacentral:rRNA from 1 species
UGGGGAAUAUUGGACAAUGGGCGCAAGCCUGAUCCAGCCAUGCCGCGUGAGUGAUGAAGGCCCUAGGGUUGUAAAGCUCUUUCACCGGUGAAGAUAAUUACGGUAACCGGAGAAGAAGCCCCGGCUAACUUCGUGCCAGCAGCCGCGGUAAUACGAAGGGGGCUAGCGUUGUUCGGAUUUACUGGGCGUAAAGCGCACGUAGGCGGACUUUUAAGUCAGGGGUGAAAUCCCGGGGCUCAACCCCGGAACUGCCUUUGAUACUGGAAGUCUUGAGUAUGGUAGAGGGGAGUGGAAUUCCGAGUGUAGAAGUGAAAUUCGUAGAUAUUCGGAGGAAAACCAGUGGCGAGGGCGGCUCACUGGACCAUUACUGACGCUGAGGUGCGAAAGCGUGGGGAGCAAACAGG